rnacentral:rRNA from 1 species
GAGUUUGAUCAUGGCUCAGAUUGAACGCUGGCGGCAUGCUUUACACAUGCAAGUCGAGCGGCAGCGCGGGGGCAACCCUGGCGGCGAGCGGCGAACGGGUGAGUAAUACAUCGGAACGUACCCCGUAGUGGGGGAUAACCCGGCGAAAGCCGGACUAAUACCGCAUAUGCUCUACGGAGGAAAGUGGGGGACCCGCAAGGGCCUCAUGCUAUGGGAGCGGCCGAUGUCCGAUUAGCUUGUUGGCGGGGUAAAGGCCCACCAAGGCGACGGUCGGUAGCUGGUCUGAGAGGAUGAUCAGCCACACUGGGACUGAGACACGGCCCAGACUCCUACGGGAGGCAGCAGUGGGGAAUUUUGGACAAUGGGGGCAACCCUGAUCCAGCCAUGCCGCGUGCGGGAAGAAGGCCUUCGGGUUGUAAACCGCUUUUGUCCGGGAAGAAAAGGCAUCUCCUAAUACGAGGUGCUCUUGACGGUACUGGAAGAAUAAGCACCGGCUAACUACGUGCCAGCAGCCGCGGUAAUACGUAGGGUGCGGGCGUUAAUCGGAAUUACUGGG